UGGAGAGGAACACUAAGAGGAGGAGGAGACCACUAACUGACAGGAGGGGAGAGCACUAUGAAAAAAUAAAGAGCUGCUCCCCUCUCAGCCCCUAUCCUACCCCACAAGCCCUCUAUUACAUACACACACACACACAGAAACAUACAAUACAUCUCUACUCACACACAGACACACCGAAAUAUACAAUGUAUCCCUUACAUGCACACACUGCUUCUCUUACACACACAUAAACAAAAUACAUCUCUUACAUACACUCAAUGCACCCCUUGCAGACACACACUGCAUUACAUACACAGAAACACACCUUGCAUCUCUUACACACACACACACAGAGAAACACACAAUGUAUCUCCUAUACACACACUACACCCCUUACACAAAUUGAAAUCCCUAUACACUACAUUCCAUAAGAACACACACACAUUACAUCCUCUACAAUAACACAUCCCCAACACUCCAUUCCCUGUGAGCGAACUCCUGUGUGGGCCAUGUAGGUGGACUUAUGGGCGGGCCUUGUAGGCAUUCUCACGGUCAGGCCCUGGGGGCACAGACCUUGAGCUGUGUAAGGGGCCCAAAAAAUAUGGAGAUGCUUCAUGUUCGUUGAUUUUUGUGAGCCCGGUUACAAACAGUCUCCAGAGAGCCUGUUUUAACACCAGACCAGUGGAGCCAGACUGCAGCCUGAGCCCAUCAUCAUCCUCUUGUCCUCUUCUGGUGGUAAGUAGGCAAUCCAGUAUAUUAUUAGUAGCACUAGUCUCUAAUUUACCUUACAUUAAACGGACACUAUAGUCACAGCUUAAUGAAGUGGUUUUGGUGUAUAUAGCCUGUCCUUGCAGGCUUUUUAAUGUAAAUACACUGCCUUCUCAUAUAAAAAGACACUGUGUGCAGCACUGGCGUUGGCCCAUAUGGCAGAUCAUAUGGGCAGGGCAUUGUGAUGUCACAUGAUGGGCAGGACAUAUGGGGGGGGGGCGGCAAAUUUUUGUUUGCCUAGGGCGGCAAAAAUCCUUUCUCCGGCCCUGUGUCCACAUGGUUUGGUAGCACUUAAUGGAGAACACUGAG